rnacentral:lncRNA from 1 species
CUUUGUUUAAAUACAAGUAUUUCUCCUCAGGGAAGGAAAAUACUGACAAUUACUCACGUGCUUUCAUUGUUGUUAGUUGUUUUUGGUUUGGGUGUUUUUUUGUUUUGUUUUUUGUUUUGUUUUGUUUUGUUUUAUUUUUUGUAUCCCUGGUUUCGUCUAUAAACACUGGUGCUGAACUUGUCAGUUCUCAAUUUUUUUAGUACAGUUAUCAUCCCAUUAAUAGAGACAGAAGUUCAAGACUUUGCUUCUUCUUCACGGCAGUCUUCACUCGCUGUUUCAUCCCUCAAAAUACUCUAGUUUCUAAAGCACAAAGAAAAAAAGACUAAAAUGUUCUUUAAGCUUUUAUUUGUCAAAAGAGACCUGAGCCUGUCUAUAUCUGCGUUAUUUACUCUUGCUUCCCUUGAAACAACCAGCUCUAUUUCUACCAUAAACAAUCCUUGUUCUGACCUGAACCCCUCUUGUUCUCACAGAGGCUAUUCUGUGCAAUGAGAGGCUGAUUCAUUCUGAUUAGUCUAUGUUAGAGCCAUUUCUCAUCUUCCCAUGCAACACUCUGAGUUACCCACAACAGGAAAAACACCAUCACAAUACAACCUUUCUUUCCAGAUCCUCUGCUGUCCCUGGAUACCACGAGAGUCCAUUUCAGCCACAGUAGGAACAAAGACAUUUAUUUUGAUUUAUGGCUUCCUAUCUGCUCCCCCUUAGCCACAAGAUGCUGAUCUCCAAACAGACACAUCAUCUUUGCAUAUCUCUGCUCCCCAACCAGACAGUGACCUAUCUCAGAAGUCAAACUGAGAUCAAAUGUUACUUUCCAGUUCGUGUGUAAAAAAACAUUGAAUCACAAGAGGAACUAGAGGAAAAAGAUGUCCAUUCUGCAUACUGCUGUGUUCACAUAAUUCCCAGCACAAAGGUACCAGGGAGUAUUGGGAGCAGAAGUCCCUGGGAAGAAUGCUGCAACUUAUUCCUGAAAUGCUAGAAAAAAAGGGUGAGGAUUUUGCAAGUUACGUAUAUCCCUUUCCAUCAAUGAUUUGAGCAGCAGCUGUCUGAGUUGGUUAACACUAAAUUCAAACUCUCUCACUUUUUUCUUUGAAAACUUGAGAUUACAUUCAGAUUCCCUUGCAAGUUUGGCUUUUUCAAACCCUUGCUUGUGGGAGAUGCAGAGGUCA